UCCAUUUCCCUGAGUCCAACAUCAUCAAAUGGAUUAUCACUAUCAGCAAUAUCCUUUUCACCAACUGAACCAUCACCAGUAGGGUCACCCUCCAAGCCCAAAUUCUCCCCCUCUCUCUCAUCAAAUCCAAGUUGUUCAUUGUUGUAGAAGCUAUAAGCACCGCCCCUUGAGCCUCUUCCAUGGACUAUUGGACCCAUUGAAGAAGCAACUACAACAAGGGUGGCAGUGGUUUUUGAGCAUUCUUAAGAGAAAGGUACAUGAGAAUUUGGGGUUAGGCAUUGAUUGUUGCUGAGAAAGGGAAUCUAUGAGAUUCUGGGAGUGAGAUUGAAAGCGGGCUUGCGGGAAGAAGCUCAGUCAUGGUGAGUUGUGAAUAGUGAGAGAGUUUGCAACAAAAAGCAAAGAUUUUUUAUGCAUGGAAUUAGAAUAGAGCCCUUUUUUCACA
rnacentral:lncRNA from 1 species